rnacentral:tRNA from 1 species
GUCUCGGUAGUGUAAGGGAUAGCGCACGAUGCCCGAAAAGCACAAGUACCGGUUCAAUUCCCGUCCGAGACU